rnacentral:miRNA from 1 species
AUACUGUGAAUUUCACUGUCACA